CAUCUCCAGGUUCUGUUAGACAUCACAGUAAAGUAAUUCUUUACUGCUUGCUUUACUUGAGCCAUCUUUCUAAUGUGUAUUCUUGAAAGUAUCCUGGCUGUAUGAAUCUCAAAUUUCAGUCCCUUUUUUAGACCACCAUGCAGCCCAGAGGUUUGGAGCUUUGUCUUGGAAGCUCCUUCCAUCAAUCAGAAUACCAAAUUUACAUUGUUAGGUUCCCUGGAGGUGUUGGAGCUCUGGAUUCAGCAAUUAUUGUGAAUAAGAACCUUGCAGCUAGGGUGAGUGCCAACAUUCCAAGUGCUAGCACAAUGGAAAAGAGAAGUGGUUUAUGUUAGAAUAUGGUCACAUUCUUCUGAUUAAACCCACUCAAAAAAGACAACAUUGUAAUAUUUUCCAAUGACUGUUUAUCAUGAAUUACGUCAGCCUUCGUUUAAAUUGCUAUUAUUUCUCCUUAAUGCUUCUUGGUGCCUGCAUAAUUUACGGCACUGGCAGCCUCGGGACUAUGAAAUAACCUUUCACAACCACCGUACAAUAGUGAAGAACAUGGCGUUUUUGUUGUUAAUUAUUAUAGGACUCCUUUAACUUUUACAAAGUGACAUAAAAUAUUGUUGAGGCAUUUAUGAUUCAAGCUACUUUUACAUGGAUCUAUUUUGCUUCUGGCUAGUUCUUAACUAAAGCAAUCAUUUGUGGUUAUUAGGCCGCCGGAGAUAUUAUGUCAGAACUGGUUUAAGAGUAUUAUUAUGUAUCCCAUGUCAUACACUACAUGUCAGCACUUGAGGCUGUCUUUCAAUAAAAACAAAUGUAAUUUUAGUUUGUGCUCUUUUAGGGAUUGGCCAUUUAUAAGCCAACCUGAGUUCAUUCGAAGGUGUCCCAACCAUUUAGGAGCUUGUUUCAGCCUUCCAUCAUACACUUUUAGUCUCUUUCCUGUGGAUUUAAGACCUUUCCAAAACAAACUUUGGCAAAGGUUUAAUUCAGAGUGAAGAUUUGCUCCUAGGGAGCCACAGAAUUAGCAAGGACUGGUUAAUCGCCCAGGGCUGAGCUCGUUCUGAUUCCCACAUUUUGUGGGUUUUCUUACAGAUUUCCUAGGCAGUGAGUCUUCUAAUUGUGACCCUCCUAACUGUGACCCUCUGAAGAGAAGCGAGUCUCAGCCCAUAGAAGACCCUGCCUUACAUUCAAAGAGGCUACCCUAACUUUCUGGCGAGGAGUCUUGAGUAGAAGGGAGGUGGAAACAAAAAAGGAUGGGAACAUGUUUGAGUUUCCACAAAGCUACACUUCCAAGCAAACUUUGAAUUAAUAUGUCACUCCCCUGGGUUCCAAAUACUAUGCAUAUUUUCCAGUCCUUGCUUAUUUAAAGCAAGAAAGGAAGGGCGUGCCAGAAAGUUUUACAAAGAAUGAAAACACAUUAAUGACUCAUGUGAACAAUUACUGAUUUUCUUAACAUAUAAUUUCUUAAUUACUGUCAACCAAAAUAAUUUGCAUGAUAAUAUUUUUCCUCCCCUCCCCCAUCUGUGUUUAAAAGGCAUAAAAUAAUGAUCAAAGAGUCUGUUUGAUCAAUAGUCGGGAAAUUUAACUCCUUAAUUCUUAGUGGAUUGAUGGGACUUUGACAUCGGAUAUUCUUCAGAAUAAUCACCUCCAACACAAUGGGCAAAAUGAGCUCUCCAGUAAAACAAACAGCUUUGAAAAGAGCUCAGGGGCAUUUUCUUUAGCUUGAAUUCAAGGAGGAAAUUGUGACUUUUAUGAAACUUGCAUAAAUUUACAUCUGCCCUCCUUUUUGAUCCUGAUAGAAGCAGGAGGAAGAUAAGGGGGAAGGUCCCUGGAGAAUCUCCCACUGACCUGUGCACUGGGAGGAUGGGGUGGAGCCUUGGGAAUUUCACACCUUUCGCAGGAAAGAGGAGCUGGCCCUCUCCUGUUCCUGGGUGGUAACCUGGGAUUCAGUCGAUUUAGGGCAAGGCACUCUUCCCCAUAUUGCCUCCUUUGGCCAUCAUCAUUCAUAGUAUAUUAACUGAGUGGGCCUGAAAGAAGUAUUGUUAUCUUGAGAGCUCCAUGUAUUUGCAUGUAUGACACAGAAUCCUUUUGAGUCUUCUCACACCAACUGAACCAAAUCCUAUAUUUAUGCACAUGUGAGCAGGUCACUGCCACAUUUUGAGUCAUAUUCUUGUACCAGAAGAAUAAAGUACUGCAGAGCUGAAGGAUUUGGUCAGUGAAAGGUUGAUUUGGAAAGUGGAAGAGGAUAAGGAAUUUAAAGCAGACUGUCAAGUCAGAAACAACAGACUCUUGCAGCCAGUGAUUACUGCACAUGCUCAAUUCUUGAGUUUAAUGGUAACACAACCACUCCUUUUUCUUUGAGGCUUAUUUCAGAAACCAGAGUGGAAGGGAACCUUUCUGUUGAGUUUAUAAUAGCAAUUACAAGCUGAUAAGGGCAAACCAUUCAUCAAAGGAUCAUACCUCGGGACUUUAUCUCUUUGGGUCAAAUGUUUCCUGAUUGAUAUUGACUACCAUAUCUUAAGCAGCUUUGAACAGAUAAGAAGCUAGGAAAGAAAUUCCUUUGAAGGAGAUUUGACAAAAUUAUAUUUUCUGAUUUUUUUUUCUUUCGG
rnacentral:lncRNA from 1 species